rnacentral:rRNA from 1 species
CCUACGGGAGGCAGCAGUAGGGAAUAUUGCUCAAUGGGGGAAACCCUGAAGCAGCAACGCCGCGUGGAGGAUGAAGGUUUUAGGAUUGUAAACUCCUUUUGUGAGGGAAGAUAAUGACGGUAUCUCACGAAUAAGCACCGGCUAACUCCGUGCCAGCAGCCGCGGUAAUACGGAGGGGGCAAGCGUUACUCGGAAUCACUGGGCGUAAAGAGUGCGCAGGCGGGCUUGUAAGUCAGAUGUGAAAUCCUGUAGCUUAACUACAGAACUGCAUUUGAAACUAUGAGUCUAGAGUGUGGGAGAGGUAGGUGGAAUUCUUGGUGUAGGGGUAAAAUGCGUAGAUAUCAAGAGGAAUACUCAUUGCGAAGGCGACCUACUGGAACAUUACUGACGCUCAUGCACGAAAGCGUGGGGAGCAAACAGGAUUAGAUACCCUGGUAGUC